GACGAACGCUGGCGGCGUGCUUAACACAUGCAAGUCGAACGGAAAGGCCCUGCUUUUGUGGGGUGCUCGAGUGGCGAACGGGUGAGUAACACGUGAGUAACCUGCCCUUGACUUUGGGAUAACUUCAGGAAACUGGGGCUAAUACCGGAUAGGAGCUCCUGCUGCAUGGUGGGGGUUGGAAAGUUUCGGCGGUUGGGGAUGGACUCGCGGCUUAUCAGCUUGUUGGUGGGGUAGUGGCUUACCAAGGCUUUGACGGGUAGCCGGCCUGAGAGGGUGACCGGCCACAUUGGGACUGAGAUACGGCACAGACUCCUACGGGAGGCAGCAGUGGGGAAUAUUGCACAAUGGGCGGAAGCCUGAUGCAGCAACGCCGCGUGCGGGAUGACGGCCUUCGGGUUGUAAACCGCUUCCGCCUGUGACGAAGCGUGAGUGACGGUAAUGGGUAAAGAAGCACCGGCUAACUACGUG
rnacentral:rRNA from 1 species